rnacentral:misc_RNA from 1 species
AAAAGUCGUAACAAGGUUUCCGUAGGUGAACCUGCGGAAGGAUCAUUACCAAUUUAAUCCAAACCCUUCAACCCUUGUGCACUAUGAUCCUGUUUGUCUUUGGGGUGGCCGUUUUGCUUACUGCAUCAUGUUUGCCGCCCCACAUUUGUUCAACACAGUUUUUAUUUUCGUGGCAUCUUUAUUGUCUUAAUAUUAAAUGGACAACUUUUAACGGUGGAUCUCUUGGCUCGU